GCAGGGGUGCCAGAGCGGCCAAAUGGACUGGACUGUAAAUCCAGCGUCGCAAGACUUCGUGGGUUCAAAUCCCACCCCCUGCACCA
rnacentral:tRNA from 1 species